CGCCUCGGACCAGUGCCACACGUAGUGUGCAGUGGGCUGGCUAACGGUUUGGCUGCAAGAUAUUCACACCUCCAGUUUCCCAGUGGCAUUCAGAUUACGAUUACCCGAUUACCAACCAGUAGCUGUAUCUCUGUGGCAGUUCCAGCAGCAGCAUCGAGUGGCGUGGCGUUUCGUGGCAGUUUAGUAUGUUAGUGUCUUUUGAAAAGUUCAAGACUCAAGUUUGUAUUGCAACUAAUUGGCUCGAAAUAAAUGGCGGACCAGGCCAGAAUGCCAAAAACCAAAACCAUAAGCAGAAUUUGGCCAUGCACGCUAGCUCCACCAGCUACGCCUGUUUGGCGGGGACCAACUGCAUUGCCACAACGAUUGUGGAUAUAUAUUCUGAUAUAUGCGAAUAUGAAUAGUUAUAGUUUGGUUAAUUGCUUGCAGAAAUGUUAACACUUGUUUGGCUUUCGAUCAAAUUGCAACUACAAUGAACAAUAACAAUAAAAUGCCACGCUACAUUAAUUUCAAUUUCAUAUAUACUCGUAUGUAUGUAUUAUAUGUAUAUUUAAUUCCAAUGCUGAAUCUACUGAAAAAGUUUUGAUUAAAAUAGCUUUUGAUUUC